rnacentral:lncRNA from 1 species
CUGUUAUGAUACUAUUAAGAAUUUCAUUGAACUGGUAUGGUAUUUGCGAAACAGGGAUAUCGUCGACUGAAUCCGACGAAUUCAAGUCUUUAAAGAAAUCAAAGAGAACAUCGAUUGAAACUUUUGGACUACGAUUUUCCCUUUUUUCAUUUAAUAUUUUCAAGAACUCCUUCAAGUUACUGUUUUCUUUUAAAUUUUGCAUCUUUUUUC